rnacentral:rRNA from 1 species
UACGUAGGGGGCAAGCGUUGUCCGGAUUUAUUGAGCGUAAAGGGCGCGUAGGCGGCCAUGCGUGUCUUCCGUGAAAUCCCUCGGCUUAACCGAGGAACUGCCGUCCAAACUGCUUUGCUUGAGACCGGGAGAGGUGAGUGGAAUUCCCAGUGUAGCGGUGAAAUGCGUAGAUAUUGGGAGGAACACCAGUGGCGAAGGCGGCUCACUGGACCGGUACUGACGCUGAUGCGCGAAAGCGUGGGGAGCAAACGGG